rnacentral:rRNA from 1 species
CCAAUAGCGUAUAUUAAAGUUGUUGCAGUUAAAAAGCUCGUAGUUGAAUUUCGAGACCGGUUUACUGGUCGUGCUUUUGUACGUACUGGUAUUAUUGGUUUCUCCUUUCUGACGAAUCAUAAUGCCAUUAAUUUGGUGUUUUGGGGAAUCAGGACUGUUACUUUGAAAAAAUUAGAGUGUUUAAAGCAGGCUCACUCUUGAAUACAUUAGCAUGGAAUAACGGAAUAGGACGUUUGAUUUUAUUUUGUUGGUUUCUAGGAUCGACGUAAUGAUUAAUAGUGAUAGUUGGGGGCAUUAGUAUUCAAUUGUCAGAGGUGAAAUUCUUGGAUUUAUUGAAGACUAACUACUGCGAAAGCAUUUGCCAAGGAUGUUUUCAUUAAUCAAGAACGAAAGUUAGGGGAUCGAAGACGAUCAGAUACCGUCGUAGUCUUAAUCAUAAACUAUGCCGACUAGGGAUCGGAUGAUGUUAAUUUUUUAAUGACUCAUUCGGCGCCUUACG